rnacentral:rRNA from 1 species
UGGCCCUCGGGUCCGAGUUGUAAUUUGUAGAGGAUGCUUUUGGUGCGGUGCCUUCCGAGUUCCCUGGAACGGGACGCCUUAGAGGGUGAGAGCCCCGUACGGUUGGACGCCUAGCCUCUGUAAAGCUCCUUCGACGAGUCGAGUAGUUUGGGAAUGCUGCUCUAAAUGGGAGGUAUAUUUCUUCUAAAGCUAAAUACUGGCCAGAGACCGAUAGCGCACAAGUAGAGUGAUCGAAAGAUGAAAAGCACUUUGAAAAGAGGGUUAAAUAGCACGUGAAAUUGUUGAAAGGGAAGCGUUUAUCACCAGACUUUUUCUAGGGGGAUCAUCCGGUGUUCUCACCGGUGCACUUCCCCUAGUUGAGGCCAGCAUCGGUUUUCGGAGGGGGAUAAAAGUUUCGGGAAUGUGACUCCCCCGGGAGUGUUAUAGCCCGUUACAUAAUACCCUUCUGGGGACCGAGGUUCGCGCAUCUGCAAGGAUGCUGGCAUAAUGGUGAUCAACGACCCGUCUUGAAACACGGACCAAGGAGUCGAACAUUUAUGCGAGUGUUUGGGUGUCAAACCCUCACGCGUAAUGAAAGUGAACGGAGGUGAGAGCCCUUACGGGUGCAUCAUCGACCGAUCCUGAUGUCUUCGGAUGGAUUUGAGUAAGAGCAUAACUGUUCGGACCCGAAAGAUGGUGAACUAUGCGUGGAUAGGGUGAAGCCAGGAGAAAUCCUGGUGGAGGCUCGCAGCGGUUCUGACGUGCAAAUCGAUCGUCAAAUCUGCGCAUGGGGGCGAAAGACUAAUCGAACCAUCUAGUAGCUGGUU